AGAUUGGGUUUCACCAUAUUGCCCAGGCUGGUCUUGAACACCUGAGCUCGAGCAGUCCGCUUCCCUCAGCCUCCCAAAGUGCUGGGAUUACAGGUGCCAGCCACUGUGCCCAGUCCAACAUGCUGUUCUUUCUAAAUUCCAAAAUUCAUGUUCAUUUUGCUACAUCACAUUCAAAUUGCUUCUUAAUGAAGAGGAUAACUCAGAAUCAUCGGCUAUAGAGCAGCCACCUACUUCAAACCCAGCACCGCAGAUUGUGCAGGCUGCGUCUUCAGCACCAGCACUUGAAACUGACUCUUCCCCUCCACCAUAUAGUAGUAUUACUGUGGAAGUACCUACAACUUCAG
rnacentral:lncRNA from 10 species